CCGGCAUCUUGCCCGUGGCCACAUGGGCCGUUGCGUCUGGGAGCCGGUGGUGUUAGCCAGCCGGUGACCCCGGGGGUCGGCAGCCCCUUUUGCUCCCGUGCGCACGGAGUCGGGGGAGGAAAGGCUGAAACCAGGACUCAAAGCAAAGCCGGGUCAGAGCCGGGGAGGGCCAGGGAGAUGGCGUGGCCACCAGACGAGGUGGGGCCGGCGGACAGGUGGGGGCAGGGGCCAUCUGCAGCCCUGCACAGGGCAGCUUUCUCCCCGGCCGUCCUCCGGGGGCAGAACGUGCACCAGGAACCCCCUCGGGUCUUCUCACCAAGUGAGAACUGGUCCCGAGCAGGCCCCCCGUCCACGCCACCCUCCCCACGCCCGCCCCGCUGCGGGCCCCGAUUCACAGUGAGGAGCCCUGCGUCUCUCAACCACACUGUGCAAGGCCACCUCGGGUCGCUUCACCCCGUCCCCCUCCGAACAUGGGCUCUCUCGGGGAGCGCCCCCACCCUCCCUCUGAGGACGGGGAGGUUUUCCAAGGACCUUGGGGUGUCGGCUCCCUCAGCUCGCAGAUUCGUGUUUCCUUUUAUCCUCGGAGACACGGAAUGCAAAGGGGAAGGAAAAAGCAGAAAGACGCAGGAAGGGUGGCCGUAACGACCGCGGACGGGGCUCCCGCAGCAGAGAGUCCUCUCCCACGGUUCCAGAGGCCACAAGUCCACGAUCAGCUACCAGCCGGGCCGGGUAUCCCUCCGUGGCCCGUCCGUGGCCCCUCGUGGUCCUUCCUCUGUGCGGGCCCAUGUCUGUGUGUAAAGCCCCUCUUCUUACAAGACCAGCCACACUGGACCGCCUAAAAUCGGCGUCUCUGUGAGAAGGAGAACUCAUGCUAACAACUUUAGGAGGCUCCGGACGUGAGGCAAAGAGAGAUCAAUGGCA